AUCAACUUUCGAUGGUAGGAUAGAGGCCUACCAUGGUGGUAACGGGUAACGGGGUGUUAGGGCACGACACCGGAGAGGGAGCCUGAGACACGGCCACCACAUCCAAGGAUGGCAGCAGGCGCGCAAAUUACCCAAUCCCGACACGGGGAGGUAGUGACAAUAAAUAACAAUACGGGGUCCUUUCGGGUUUCGUAAUUGGAAUGAGUACAAUUUAAAUCUCUUAACGAGGAACAAUUGGAGGGCAAGUCUGGUGCCAGCAGCCGCGGUAAUUCCAGCUCCAAUAGCGUAUAUUAAAGUUGUUGCAGUUAAAAAGCUCGUAGUUGAAUUUCGGGAUUAGUACGUUGGUCGUGCCUUCGGUACGUACUGGUGUUACUGAUUCCUACCUUCUGACGAACCAUCAUGUCAUUAAUUUGGUGUGGUGGGAAAUCAGGACUGUUACUUUGAAAAAAUUAGAGUGUUUAAAGCAGGCUCGCGCUUGAAUACAUUAGCAUGGAAUAAUGAAAUAGGACGUUGACCCUAUUUUGUUGGUUUCUAGGAUUGACGUAAUGAUUAAUAGGGAUAGUUGGGGGCAUUAGUAUUCAAUUGUCAGAGGUGAAAUUCUUGGAUUUAUUGAAGACUAACUACUGCGAAAGCAUUUGCCAAGGAUGUUUUUAUUAAUCAAGAACGAAAGUUAGGGGAUCGAAGACGAUCAGAUACCGUCGUAGUCUUAACCAUAAACUAUGCCGACUAGGGAUCGGAUGAUGUUAUUUUUAAUGACUCAUUCGGCGCCUUACGGGAAACCAAAGUGUUUGGGUUC
rnacentral:rRNA from 1 species